GGCUUGUUGAUUAUGAUUUCAGGUCUAACCUGCCCCAUGAGCAAUUAAAUGGCCGCGGUAUAUUGACCGUGCAAAGGUAGCAUAAUCAUUAGUUUUUUAAUUGAAAGCUUGCAUGAAAGGUUUGAUGAGGAAAUUUCUGUCUCUGUAUAAGUUUAUUAGAAUUUUAUUUUUAAGUGAAAAAGCUUAGAUUAUCAUAGAAGACGAGAAGACCCUAUAGAGUUUAAUAUUUUAUUAUUUUUUGGGUUUGUUGGUAUCAAGAAUUUGAAAAUUAAUUUAGUAUUUUGUUGGGGUGAUAGGAAAAUUUAAUGAACUUUUCUUUAUAAAAACAUUUAUUUAUGAUUUUAUGAGCCUAGUAUUUAGAUUAUAAGAUUAAAUUACCUUAGGGAUAACAGCGUAAUCUUUUUUAGAGUUCUUAUCGAAAAAAUGGGUUGCGACCUCGAUGUUGGAUUAAAAUUUAUUGCUGGUGCAGAAGCUGGUGUAUUAGGUCUGUUCGACCUUUAAAAUUUUACAUGAUCUGAGUUUAAACCGGCGUGAG
rnacentral:rRNA from 1 species